UACGUAGGGUGCAAGCGUUAAUCGGAAUUACUGGGCGUAAAGCGUGCGCAGGCGGUUGUGCAAGACAGAUGUGAAAUCCCUGGGCUCAACCUGGGAACUGCAUUUGUGACUGCACGGCUAGAGUGUGUCAGAGGGGGGUAGAAUUCCACGUGUAGCAGUGAAAUGCGUAGAGAUGUGGAGGAAUACCGAUGGCGAAGGCAGCCCCCUGGGAUAACACUGACGCUCAUGCACGAAAGCGUGGGGAGCAAACAGG
rnacentral:rRNA from 1 species